rnacentral:rRNA from 1 species
AACGAACGCUGGCGGCAUGCCUAACACAUGCAAGUCGAACGAUUGCCUUCGGGUGAUAGUGGCGCACGGGUGCGUAACGCGUGGGAAUCUGCCCUUAGGUUCGGAAUAACAGCUGGAAACGGCUGCUAAUACCGGAUGAUAUCGCGAGAUCAAAGAUUUAUCGCCUGAGGAUGAGCCCGCGUUGGAUUAGGUAGUUGGUGGGGUAAAGGCCUACCAAGCCGACGAUCCAUAGCUGGUCUGAGAGGAUGAUCAGCCACACUGGGACUGAGACACGGCCCAGACUCCUACGGGAGGAAGCAGUGGGGAAUAUUGGACAAUGGGCGCAAGCCUGAUCCAGCAAUGCCGUGUGAGUGAUGAAGGCCCUAGGGUUGUAAAGCUCUUUUACCCGGGAAGAUAAUGACUGUACCGGGAGAAUAAGCCCCGGCUAACUCCGUG